UGUGAAAAUCAAUUUAAUUUGAAUUUAAUAAAUUAUUAUUUUAUUUAAUUGAAAAUUUUUAGAAUAAAUUUAUAUUUUUUUAUUAUUUAAAUUAGAAAAAAUAUUUUUUAUUAUAGUUUAUUAGUAUUGUAAAAGAAUUUUUUAAAAUAUAAAUAAGAAAAAUUUAUUUUUUGUACCUUGUGUAUCAGGGUUUAUUAAAAAUUGAUUAAAAUUAAAUUUUCUCGAAUUUAAAAGAGCUAAAUAAAAAUUAUUAAUAUUAUUGAAUAAAUAUAUAGAAUUUUUAUUUUGUAAUGAAAUGUUAUUCGUUUUUAAGUUUAUCUAGUUUUUUAAGAAAAAAAUUAAAUUUUAUAAUAAUUAAUUAAUAAAUUAAAUUUUUAAUUUAUUAAUAAUUAUUUUAAAUAUUUUUAGGGAUUAGCUUAAAAAUAAAGAUUUAUAAAUAAUAAACGUUAAAUAAUUUAUAGGAUUAAAAUUUUUCAUUAUUAAUAAUAUGUUAUAAUUAUUUAUUUUAUAAAAUUUAAUUUAUAUAAAUUUUAAAUUUUUUAUUAAAAUAUUAAUUUUAAUAUUAAAAAUUAAGAAAUUAUGAUAGAAUUAGUAUAAUUUAAUUUAUAAAUAAUUAUAAUAUUAAAGGUUAAAUAAAGGAAUUCGGCAAAAUUAUUUUUCACCUGUUUAUUAAAAACAUGUCUUUUAGAUAAUAAUAAAAAGUCUGACCUGCCCCCUGAGGAGUUAAAUGGCCGCGGUAUUUUGACCGUGCUAAGGUAGCAUAAUCAUUAGUUUUUUAAUUGAAAGCUGGAAUGAAAGGUUGAAUGAAAAAGUAACUGUCUCUAUUUAAUUUUAUUAGAAUUUUAUUUUUAAGUAAAAAAGCUUAAAUUUAAUUUAAAGACGAGAAGACCCUAUAGAGCUUGAAUAUAUUUUUUAUUUAUUUUUUUUAGGAUUUAUAUAUUAAAUAAUAGAUUUAUUUUAGUUGGGGUGAUGAAAAAAUUUAUUAAACUUUUUUUAUUUAAAUACAUUUAUUUAUGAAAAUAUGAUCCAUUAUUUAUGAUUAUAAGAUUAAGUUACCUUAGGGAUAACAGCGUAAUUUUUUUUGAGAGUUCUUAUCGAAAAAAAAGUUUGCGACCUCGAUGUUGGAUUAAAAUUUAUUUUUGGUGCAGUAGCUAAAAUAUUAAGUCUGUUCGACUUUUAAAAUUUUACAUGAUCUGAGUUUAGACCGGCGUAAGCCAGGUUGGUUUCUAUCUUGAAUAUUUUAAAAUAUUUUAGUACGAAAGGAUUAAAUAUUUAAUAUAUUAUUUAUUUUUUUGAAUAAAAUUGUUAUUUUGGCAGAAAAGUGCAAUAGAUUUAGAAUCUAUGAAUGUAAUUUAUAUUACAAAUAA
rnacentral:rRNA from 1 species